CUUACAAGUUCCAAGAAAACAUAACACCAAAUUUUAAAAGUUAUAUUUUUAAAAGAGAUAAGACAUUCCAAGUUGGGUUCUAAAUCAUUUCAAGUGGCCAACUUUGGCUACAGAGAAUGGAAAAUUGGACUUUUUGAAAAUGUUUGAAAAUAUGAAUAAAUGGGCUCUGAGAGGAGGAUUGGUUUUGUCACACUUAUUUCAGUUUCCCUGAAGUUAGGUCUUUUCUGCUCAUUUCCAGUUUUGUUAGAUAUUCUGGUUCAGUGAGACUAUGGCGUAUCUGAAUUCUGUAUAGUUCCAGGUUUGGCCUUGAGGACUCUUAAUUUCUGAGGAGAAGGACCAGGCAGCUGCUGGAAUUCUAGUUGGUAUGACUGUCACAUCCACGCUCCUCCACAUUCCUACGCCAAGAAGUGGAAAAAAUAUAUACAAAGAAUGAGAGGCAGCCUGAGAGAAGAAAAUUAAAUAGAUGGUGGGGAGAAGCAGAUGGAGAGGGAGAGAUCUUAAGCAGUCUCCAAGAUCAGUGCCGGGCUCAACAUGGGGCUUGAUCUCACGACCCCUGAGAUCAUGACCUGAGCCGAAAUCAAGAAUCAGGCACUGAACUAACUGAGCCAUCCAGGUGCCCUGAAAUAUACUGUUAAUAUUUAUUAAAAGUUCUUGUUCUUUGGGCAUUUAGAAGUGUUUAAUUUCCCAAUAUAUAUGGAUAUUUGUUUUUCACAUGUUUAUUGGUUACUGAUUUCUAAUUUGAUUGCAUUUUUAGUCAGCAAACAUGAUCUAUAUUAUACCAUUUCUUUGAAAAUUGUUAAGACUUGCUUUCUGGACAAGCACGUGGUCAACAUUUGUAGAUGUUUCAUUUGUGCUUAAGAAGAAUGUAUGUUCUGUAAUUGUUGGGUUUGGAGUUCUCUCUCUGUCCAAUUAGAUCACGCUUGUUACUUCUCCUAUUCAAAUAUUUUAUAUCUUUUUUUGACUUUUUUUCAUCUGCUUGACUUAUUAUUGAGAGAUGAGUGUUGAAAUCUUCUAUUACAACAGUAGAUUUCUCAAUUUCAGCCACUAGUUCUAUCAUUUUUAUAUUGUAAGGCAAUUAUUUUAGGUACAUCUUUCUAUUGUUUAAUAAUACGUUUUGCAUUAAAAAUAUUUUAAAAAUAUAAGUAAAAAUGUAAAAACUACAAAAACACACAGAAUAAACAUUGCUUUCAUGUAAUUAUACCACUCCAAAGUAACUGCUACUUAUUUAAUAUGAUGAUGUGUUUCUCUUUCUGUAUCUUUGUAAUGAUAUUUAUUAUAUAGAGAGACCCAUAUGCAAGGAGGCAUUCAUGCUCCACUAUCCCAAGUGAAGAAUUUCCAGGCAAGUGGUUUGUUCAGCCCCUUAGUACAGAUGUGGAUGCUCUUCCCUCUCAUCCCAUUGGAUGUUCAGAAGUCACUUUGGUUUUAUUUUGAUCAUAAUGAAUGCUAAAAGAAAAUAUUCUUAUAGAGUAGAACUGACAGGAGUUGAUGAUGGAGUAGUUGGUAGGGGUGUGAAAAAUAAGAAUCUGAGAAAACAUCUAGAUUUUUGUUAGAAAUGGCAGUGCUAUUUACCAGGACAAAGAACCCAUGAGAGAAACAGGUUUACAGAGGUUGUAAAUCAAGAAUUCUGUUUUGGAUAUAUUAACUUUAAGAUUCCUAUUGGAUAUUCUAGUGGAGAUAACAAGCAGACAGUUGAAUUAUGUAAAUAUUGGUUUCAAGGAAGAAAUAUAUAUGGAUACAUAAUUUCAGGAGUCAUUAGUAUAGAAACAAUAUUAAGUCCAUGGGGAUAGAUGAAAUCACCUAUAAAGAACAAAUACUUGGAGUAUGGCAUUGAAGUUAGGAUUAAAAAAAAAAAAGGCAAGAAAAGAAACCAGCACAGGAGACUCAGAGAUGAAGCCAAUCAAGUAGUAGAUAAGUCAGAAGGGUAUAGAUACCAGAGAAGAGCUCUAAAUAGGAGAAGAUACAAAUGAUCGUUUAAACUUUAUGAAUGUGGGGGUGGGAAUUAGUAUCUGAAUCAAGGGGAUAGGAUUCACUGCAUCCAGAGAGAGGGGCAUAUCUUUGAUUGCCAGAGGAAAGGAAAAGGGGAGAAAUGAGUGUAGAUACAGAUAAUGUUGUAGAUUUGGGAGAAGAAAUUUUGCUUUAUGAUUUCUUUUUUUAAUUUUAUUAUUAUUUUUUUUUUCUGUGAAGUAGAAGAUGAGGUUAGCUAGAGGAAGGGUAGGUUGGGGAAAUGGUUGUUAGAGUUUUGAUGAUAGUGGAGAAAACACUACCAGAAAGAUUAUGCCAAUUUGUAUUCCAUUUAUGGUACAAGAAUGUCUAUUACACCUACCGUUGUCAACAUUGGGUAUUAUCAUAAAAAAAAAUAAGUAAACUUCUCAUUUAAAUGGGAUUAAAAUGAUACUGUAUUUGAAACAGAGUUCAUUUCUUUGCUUACUAAUAAGAGAGAACAUUUUUUAAACUUGGGGGUUUUAUAUAUAUACUUAUAAAAUAUAUAACUAUUUAAAAUGUAUUUGAAGGGUAUUAGCCCUCUGCCUGCUCUAUAUGUUUCAAAUAUUUUCACAUUUUGUUUCCUGAUUUUAAUUUUGUUCAAGGUGCUUAUUAGAGAAUACAAAUGUUUUUAAACUUUUGUGUAUUUUUAAAUUAUUUAUCAUAGCUCUUUGGGAUAUUCUCCAAUUUAUGCUUAGAAAGAACAGUCCCCUCAUAAGAACAGAUACAUUCAUCUAUAACUUCCUGAAAUUCUUGAUGACUUUAUUUUUUAUGUAUAAACAUUAUAUCUAUCCUAGACUUAUCUGGACAUAAAAUGUGAUGUAUUGCUUUAACUUUAUUUUUCUCAUAA